GGGGAUAGAGCUCAGUGGUAAAGCGUGAGCUUAGCACGCACGAGGUCCUGGGUUCCGUCCCCAGCACCUCCG
rnacentral:tRNA from 1 species